GAAUAUUGGUUGCACUGCAUAAUGACGCAUAAGUAGUAGGAACGGCGGGGUUAAACACUUUGUUUAUGAUUUUAAGCGUCUUUAUUGUUCGGCGAGGCUCCGAGUUCUACCGCUCGGCUUUUUUCUCUGCCAGUGGUUUUUGCCACGUCAUUCAUUUUCAUCAAACCGGUGAAAUCUAACUUAUUUUCCGACACGUGAAUUUUGCAUAGUCAAAAAUGAGCGACGUCGAGGAUCGGAAUGGUCAUUCUAAAUCUCGUUCUGCUUCACCUAGCCGUAGUCGUAGUAGAUCAGUAAGUGAACGCAAGUCACGUAGUCGAUCUCCUACUCGAUCUAAAACCCGCUCUAGAUCAGUAACACCUCCUCCUAGCAGAAAUGGAAGUAAAUAUAAAAGCCGUUCAAAACAUUCAUAUUCCAAAUCUCGCUCAAGAUCUCGAUCUUAUUCAGGAGAAAGAAAACGUAGUUAUCGUAGCCAUUCACGUGGAUCAGGAUCUAGACGUGGCAGACAUGAAAAUCCAAAACCAAAUAAGUGCUUAGGAAUUUUUGGCUUAAGUGUUUACACUACUGAACAUCAGUUGUAUGAUAUAUUUUCCAAGUAUGGAUCCAUAGAUAAAAUAUUGAUCAUUAUAGAUGCUAAAAGUGGCCGAUCACGAGGAUUUGGUUUUGCCUAUUUUAAAAAACAUGAAGAUGCUAAAAUAGCAAAAGAAGAAUGUUCUGGAAUGGAAAUUGAUGGUCGUCGAAUUCGUGUAGACUUCUCUAUUACACAACGUCCACAUACUCCUACACCAGGAAUCUACAUGGGCAGACCUACAAUGAGAGAAGAAAGAUCAUCCAGAAGAAGAGGUUAUGAUAGAUACGAUAGAUACGAUAGGGACAGAUAUGACCGAGACAGAUAUGAUAGGUAUGAUAGAGAUAGGGAUUAUGAUGAUUAUUAUGAUGGUGGAUACAGAGGAGGUGGUGGCCGUGGACAUUACAGGGAUAGAAGAUCUCCAUCACCAUAUUACAAGAGCAGAUCGCGUUAUGAAAGAUCACGUUCCCGUUCAUACUCUCCACUUUUUCAGCUUUCAAAGUAUUUAAUCAAGAUUUCCUACAUAUUCAAUUUUUUAAUCAUUUCCUGAAGAACAUAUUUGAAGAAAAGAAAAUAUUUCAAUUUGUCAAGAUAAUAAUAAAUUAAUUGACUUGAAGACUUCUCAAAUUCAUUGUUAGAACUUUUACAUAUAUUUCUUAAACAAACCAAAAACAAAACAAAAAUAAUAUAUAUAAAAGAAGACUCUUCCAUUGCAAAAGUAGAACACUUGAAGACCCAUUAUGACCCACUGAGUAGAUAUUGAUAGACAUUGAUGAAGAUCUUGAAGUUUAGUCAAGAAAAUUAACAGUUCUUGCUACUAAAUACAGAGGUCGUUAUUAAAAGCUAAUGAUGAGCUGAUGGAUUACCACCAUGGAAUAAAGUUAACUUUAUUAUGGAGAACUAAAGAAUACAAUUUUUAAUACCCCAUAUUAUUUCUUUUCUUUUUUUUAUAAAUAUUAAAUUCGUUUUAUAACAAUUAAACUAUGUAAAUUAGACUUGACGUACUGUUAAAGUAUUUUAAUUGAUUUUUUUUUAUUGUAUAGGCAUUUUGUGUUUUUCUUUACUAAUUAUUACAAUGUAUUUGUAUUUUCAUUUGUUCUGCAAAGGUGCGGAAAAAGUAUAAGACAAUUUUUCUUUGAAGACUAGGGAUUACAAUGUAAUUAAGAAGAACUUUUUCAAGGCUGAUGAAGCAAACAAGAUUGAAAAUGCUUAAUUAAAUUUAAUAAUAAUAACAUAAAAAUGGUGUUGCAAUUUUUAGUUUUUCACAUUCUUUAGGUACACAUAAAUACUCCUGCCUACUGUAUUUGGUAAUAUUAAAUAAAAAUAUGUGUGUAAAUAUUUUUAAUUUUUAAUUUGUUUGAUUCAUGUUUGUUUGCCUUACUUGAUUUGUAAAAGGUAAGCAGAUUUAGUGCAUAAUAAAAACUUUUCAACGUCUAA